GGGCCCACAUGGCAAGAGACAUUAAGAGUAAGGGUGCUCAGCGCCCGACCUCCAACCCUUUGUUGUUAAAACUACCUUGUUGCUUUGGCGGGACCGCUCGGUUCCGAGCCGCUGGGGAUUCGUCCCAGGCGAGUGCCCGCCAGAGUUAAACCAAACUCUUGUUAUUAAACCGGUCGUCUGAGUUAAAAUUUUGAAUAAAUCAAAACUUUCAACAACGGAUCUCUUGGUUCUCGCAUCGAUGAAGAACGCAGCGAAAUGCGAUAAGUAAUGUGAAUUGCAGAAUUCAGUGAAUCAUCGAAUCUUUGAACGCACAUUGCGCCCCUUGGUAUUCCGAGGGGCAUGCCUGUUCGAGCGUCAUUACACCACUCAAGCUAUGCUUGGUAUUGGGUGCCGUCCUUAGUUGGGCGCGCCUUAAAGACCUCGGCGAGGCCACUCCGGCUUUAGGCGUAGUAGAAUUUAUUCGAACGUCUGUCAAAGGAGAGGAACUCUGCCGAUUGAAACCUUUAUUUUUCUAGGUUGACCUCGGAUCAGGUAGGGAUACCCGCUGAACUUAAGCAUAUCUUG
rnacentral:rRNA from 1 species